GAUGAACGCUGGCGGCGUGCCUAAUACAUGCAAGUCGAGCGAACAGACGAGGAGCUUGCUCCUCUGACGUUAGCGGCGGACGGGUGAGUAACACGUGGAUAACCUACCUAUAAGACUGGGAUAACUUCGGGAAACCGGAGCUAAUACCGGAUAAUAUAUUGAACCGCAUGGUUCAAUAGUGAAAGACGGUUUUGCCGUCACUUAUAGAUGGAUCCGCGCCGCAUUAGCUAGUUGGUAAGGUAACGGCUUACCAAGGCAACGAUGCGUAGCCGACCUGAGAGGGUGAUCGGCCACACUGGAACUGAGACACGGUCCAGACUCCUACGGGAGGCAGCAGUAGGGAAUCUUCCGCAAUGGGCGAAAGCCUGACGGAGCAACGCCGCGUGAGUGAUGAAGGUCUUCGGAUCGUAAAACUCUGUUAUUAGGGAAGAACAAAUGUGUAAGUAACUAUGCACGUCUUGACGGUACCUAAUCAGAAAGCCACGGCUAACUACGU
rnacentral:rRNA from 1 species